AUACCAAUAGUAACACCAACGACCAAUACCUUUUAACAUCAAGCUUGGAUAAGAUCUAGAAGUGAAUAUACAUUGUCUAUUGGUCCAUAUGAUUUUAAACCAGACUUUUGUUGUUACCGGAUGAUGUGUAUAUUGUAAUAAAUAUACGGUUUUAACUGCAAGACACUCUGAUUCGAUUUGUUCAGAAAACUGGAAAACAAAUAUCUCACGGAAUGCAAAUUUCCUAC